GUCAAUGAUAACUAGGCUAUAUACACAGGGUACCAGUACUGAGUAAUGAUAACUAGGCUAUAUACACAGGGUACCAGUACUGAGUCCAUGAUAACUAGGUUAUAUACACAGGGUACCAGUACUGAGUAAUGAUAACUAGGUUAUAUACACAGGGUACCAGUACUGAGUCAAUGAUAACUAGGUUAUAUACACAGGGUAGCAGUACUGAGUAAUGAUAACUAGGUUAUAUACACAGGGUAGCAGUACUGAGUCCAUGAUAACUAGGUUAUAUACACAGGGUACUAAACUUUAUGGUGUUGGAGUCGUGUUUGGCCACGCAGUCGUGGGUGAACAGGGAGUACAGGAGGGGGCUAAGCACACACCCCUGAGGGGCCCCAGUGUUGAGGAUCAGCAUGGCGGAUGUGUUGUUGCCUACCCUCACCACCUGAGGGCGGCCCGUCAGGAAGUCCAGGAUCCAGUUGCAGAGGGAUGUGUUUAGUCCCAGGAUCCUUAGCUUAGUGAUGAGCUCGGAUGGCGCUGUAGUGAACAGCAUUCUCACAUAAGUGUUCCUUUUGUCCAGGUGGGAAAGGGCAGUGUGGAGUGCAAUAGAGAUUGUCUCAUCUGUGAGUCCGUUUUUUUUUUUUUUUACAUACAUAUAUAUUUUUUAACACCUUUAUUGAACUAGGCAAGUCAGUUAAGAACAAAUUCUUAUUUUCAAUGACGGCCUAGGAACAGUGGGUUAACUGCCUUGUUCAGGGCCCGGGGAACAGUGGGUUAACUGCCUUGUUCAGGGGCAGAACGACAGAUUUUUACCUCGUCAGUUCGGGGAUUUGAUCCAGCAACCCUUUCGGUUACUGGCCCAACGCUCUAACCACUGGGCUACCUGCCACCCCAUCUGUUGGGGCGGUUUGCGAAUUGGAGUGGGUUGAAGGUGUCUGGGAUUAUGAUGUUGAUGUGAGCCAUGACCAGCAUUUCAAAGCAUUUCAUGUGAGAACUACGGGUCGAUAGCCAUUUUGACAGGUUACCUUAGUGUUCUUGGGCACAGGGACUAUAGUGGUCUGCUUAAAACAUGUAGGUAUUACAGACUCGGACAGGGAGAGGUUGAAAAUGUCAGUGAAGACACUUGCUGGCUGGCGCAUACUCUGAGUACACGUCCUGGUUAUCCAUCUGGACCCCCUGAGGCCUUGUGAACAUUGACCGGUUUUACUCACAUCGUCAACGGAGAGCGUGUGUUAGUUUGCAAACCCUGACACAUGCGACAAACAUCAGAGCCGAUGUCGUAGGAUUCGAUCUUUAGCCUUGUAUUGACGCUU
rnacentral:lncRNA from 1 species